GAGCUUCUCAUUCCAAGCCUGACAGAAUAUUCCUGUGGGAGAAGCAGGGAAGCUGAACUAUGUCCUUAGGACUGUGAUCAGGUAUAGAACAGAGAUGAUGCCCUAGAGGCCUGUCCCUUGAUCAUACUGAAGACAUCUUGAAAAAUAACAGGCUGGGACAUGCUUGACAUAUGAUGAACUCAACUCCCAUGAACAGGUUUGGAGGAGCUGCUGUAAUAGGCUUCACCGUGCUGUGCUCUCAGGUGCUCCAGUGGUCUUUGGUUUUGACUUCCAACCAGAGACUAUAUUCUACAAUGACGGCCCAGGUGGGGACGAAGAUGGAGCAGCGCACCUAGAGAUUUGGCUGGUCCAGCACUGCCCUCCAGUGGUCAAAUGUAGGCAUGCGGGAACCACGGAUUCCGAGAGCGAGUUUCUGAGGUGCCUGCCCAUUCAUCAGGGGACGAGGAAUGACU